GUUCUAAAAAAAAAAAACACAUUUACACUACUCUAUAUUCUAAAGUUCGUAAAACACCUUCAUUCUAUUUCUACCUUUUAAGAUGAGCAAACAGCUUCAAGUCACAUUCAUCGUUUUAACUAUCUUCAUCGUUUUCGUGUUAGAAGUGGUGGGAGAUAGAGAUAGUGAUAGUCAGUUUGGCUGUGAGGAGAGACUGAAUAUGACUACUGAGGACACUUGUUCGCGAUUAGAGUGUCAAUUUCAGUGUAUUUUGAAAAGAAAGGGGUGGGCCACGUGCUUUAAGGAUGCGGACGACCUUUACAAGGGGACCCCCGUUUACAAGUGUCUUUGUGCUUAUUUUUGUCCUAAAUAAUUUCAACAACAUUUAAGUCUUAUCUACGAGCUUUAUAAUAGAUAGAGUAACAAUCAUGUUGACCCAAUAUAUUAUAUAUAUAUAUCUUACAAUAUUAAAAAAAAGGUGAUAUGUUCAAUGGAAAAGCAUGCCAAAUAAAAUUUUAAAAUUAACCAAUAAAAAAUACUCUUUCAUGCUAGGUCAAUUCUUCUUAAACUUAAAAUUGCUUGCAACUUGAAAAUGAAAUAAAAAUGAGAUUCUAUGGUUGGGCUCAGUUGCUAAGUCCACUAAGAAGAUUCUAUUGGCUCAUAUAGGUCCAUGUCACGGUUUAUUCAGAAACCCCUAACAUCCGAUAAUCUUUGACCGAAUCUUUCCAUUUUCUUCGUCUUCUCUGUUUUCCUUACUUGUGAUAUCCGUUACUGAGUCUUCUCCAUUUUUGAAUGUUAAGCUUAUAUAUAUUUCUUUUCCCAGUUUUCUGAUUUUGAUUUUGUUAUAUAUGCAGAUGAACUCUUGAUUUUGGUGGUCCUAUACCAUUUGGAAACGAAGCUUGAGAGCUUCUCAACAAUGGAUGUCAUGUACAGAAACUGAAAUAUCUCUCUAGGUAAAAUUAUCAAAGCCUAUUCUAUCUACUUUUAAUCACUUUGAAUUCGCAUAUGUAAUGUGAUCUGUUGUUUCAUAGGUGUGAAGCUUUAUCUACGUAUCCAAGAACUUAUGAUCUUUUUCACGUUGAUGGUCUGUUUACAAGCCAAAGGUAAUCUCAAAACUUUUAAUAGACUAUAGCCGUGUUCGUUUCAUCAUCGCGGCGUUAAGUCGCAGCGGCAAAUAAAUACACUUCGACGGAGAAAAAAAAAACAGAACCGAAUGUUAAAAUAGACGCUGAUGAUUAUCGGAGAUACAAAAAACGGAACGCCGCUGCCGCAGUUAAUUUCAGCGUUCGUUUUACUCAUUAUUAAUGGCCGCUGCGACUGAAAACAGAGUUAGAGAUGUGUUCACCGGCGUCGUGGGUUAUCGUGAUUAAAGACUUAAGUUUUGAUCGCAGCCGCUAGAUGUAGCGAUCAUGAAACGAACAGGACUUAUGAAACUCAUCGAUGUUUUGAUAAUUGCUUAAGUAGUGAUCUGGUAUUACGCAGGUGUGAGAUGAAAUAUGUAAUGCUGGAAAUGGAUAGGAUCUUGCAUCCUAAUGGCUAUUAGAUUAUAUGUGAAUCAAGCUGUUUAAUGGAUACUAUUACAUCGGUUGCAAAAUGAUUGAGAUGGAGCUCCAUAAGGAAAAAACAGAGUCUAACUCAGAGAAUGAGAAGCUCUUCAUUUGCCAGAAAAAGUUGUGGUAUUUAUCUAGCGCAACGUCUGAAACAAAGUAGUAAAAAACGUACUUUGUGAUUACGAUAACCUUUUGUUAUGAAACCUCUUUACUUUUUAUGUAUUACUACGAUACCAUGCGAAGGCUGAAGCUAUCAUUUUGGCUUUUAUAGAUUUUAAUAUUUUAUAAUAGUAGAUUUGAUCUCUAUCACGUGUUAAAUACUCAUUGGGUAUGUUUUUUUUUUUGAACAACACUCAUUGGGUAUGUUAGAGCAUGUACAACGGUAAAAAAUGUGCAAUCCUUAGUCAAAAUCUUUAAUGCUUUUUGAUUAAAGAAAUAUUAAAAGAGGAAGACAAAGUUAAGGAUGAUCCUUAAUUAAGGAUUAAAACACCAUAGUCCUUAGUGACGUGGCAGAGCUUGUGAUGAAAUCGAUUGUGAUCUACCAUCUAUCUAUCUAGAUAACGAAGAAUCUGAAGAAACUAGAAACCGUCAGAUCGGAGAAUCUGGAGUGUGGUGGUGACUUACCGGAGAUACCAGCGGUGCAGUAGACGAGAGCGAAGAUCAUACCACCGAAAGCCCAAGCGAUGCCUUGGAUUCCGACGGACGCACACAUGCUCGGUGACCUCUUCACACCCAUGACGGU